GUGCAUCAACCAUUUUUAUAUUUCUUAAAAAAAUGUCUGAAUUUGGUAGUAUCAGGGGAAUGAAAUGACAAGUAUCAAUGUGCUUAUGAAUAACUUGAGAAAAUGUCUCAUAAAAAAUUCAAUAUUCAAGAAAUCGUUAUAGUAAAUAUUUCGUAAAUUCUAGAGAUCUACAGACCACCUGACAAAUUCACGGAAUAAAAAAAAUACAAAACAUACAUACUGACACAAUUUUUCUGGAUUUACAUAAAGACAGUCAAUCAUGUAUCAGGUUCCAAAAUCAAAUUUUAUCGUAAGCCCAGCGAAGCGAACGGGUAACGGCUAUUAUUGUAUGAAAGUAAAAGCAAGACUGUAGAAUGUGCAAAAUAUUUUGUAGUUCAAUCCUACAAAUGCAUGUAAUGUAGAAGAG